AUUGAACGCUGGCGGCAUGCUUUACACAUGCAAGUCGGGCGGCAGCGCGGGGGCAACCCUGGCGGCGAGCGGCGAACGGGUGAGUAACACAUCGGAACGUGCCCAAUCGUGGGGGGAUAACGUAGCGAAAGCUACGCUAAUACCGCAUACGAUCUACGGAUGAAAGCGGGGGAUCGCAAGACCUCGCGCGAAUGGAGCGGCCGAUGGCAGAUUAGGUAGUUGGUGGGGUAAAGGCUCACCAAGCCGACGAUCUGUAGCUGGUCUGAGAGGACGACCAGCCACACUGGGACUGAGACACGGCCCAGACUCCUACGGGAGGCAGCAGUGGGAAUUUGGACAAUGGGCGCAAGCCUGAUCCAGCCAUUCCGCGUGCAGGAUGAAGGCC
rnacentral:rRNA from 1 species